GAUGAAGAACGUAGCGAAAUGCGAUAAGUAGUGUGAAUUGCAGAAUUCAGUGAAUCAUCGAAUCUUUGAACGCACAUUGCGCCCUCUGGUAUUCCGGGGGGCAUGCCUGUUCGAGCGUCAUUGCAAACCCCUCAAGCACGGCUUGUGUGUUGGGCCAUCGUCCCCUAUGGACGGGCCUGAAAUGCAGUGGCAGCACCGAGUCCUGGUGUCUGAGUGUAUGGGAAUCUCUAUCGCUCAAAGACCCAAUCGGCGCUGAUGUCAGAUUUUUAUCCAGUUUGACCUCGGAUCAGGUAGGAGUACCCGCUGAACUUAAGCAUAUCAAUAAGCGGAGGA
rnacentral:misc_RNA from 1 species